rnacentral:rRNA from 1 species
AUUGAACGCUGGCGGCAUGCCUUACACAUGCAAGUCGAACGGUAACGCGGGGCAACCUGGCGACGAGUGGCGAACGGGUGAGUAAUGCAUCGGAACGUGCCCAGUAGUGGGGGAUAGCCCGGCGAAAGCCGGAUUAAUACCGCAUACGACUUAUGGGUGAAAGCGGGGGAUCGCAAGACCUCGCGCUAUUGGAGCGGCCGAUGUCAGAUUAGGUAGUUGGUGGGGUAAAGGCCUACCAAGCCUUCGAUCUGUAGCUGGUCUGAGAGGACGACCAGCCACACUGGGGCUGAGACACGGCCCAGACUCCUACGGGAGGCAGCGGUGGGGAAUUUUGGACAAUGGGCGCAAGCCUGAUCCAGCCAUGCCGCGUGCGGGAAGAAGGCCUUCGGGUUGUAAACCGCUUUUGUCAGGGAAGAAACGCUCUGGGUUAAUACCUCGGGGUAAUGACGGUACCUGAAGAAUAAGCACCGGCUAACUACGUGCCAGCCGCCGCAGUAACAC